ensembl:lncRNA
GCAAAGUUGAAAACUAGUCCAAAGAGACUUCAGAGUGAUCGCCACAGUGAUUCCAUUGUAGAAACAACAAGCAUCAACAGUUACAAAAGUAUAAAUUCAUAAAACGAAAUAAAGGCAAUCUUGGACCGGUGGGUCUUUUUAAAGGUAUCAAAAGUGUUCAUAGAUGUUGAAUCUGAUACGUCACGGAAGUGGGGAGGACUCAGGUGCAGACCGGGUUUCUCAGUUCAGUACAGGUUUUAGUUACAACAGGUGUAAUAUAUAUACAUGGUGGGGGGAAAUCCAAAGAUCCAAAAGGGAAAUCUGGGAAAAGGGAAGGCUCUCUCAUACUCGGCUCCACUUCACAAUUCCACACACCAAUUCACUCAUUCACGAACUUGGGAACGCGCAGUUUUCUGUUGUCUUUAGCUUAGACGUGGCCUGAUCUGCAGGUAAUAAAAAACAACUCUGUACGAGAUAGCCAGUAUACUUAUCAAAACUGAAUGCACCCAAUUUUCUCACUGUGGAGAGAACUGAAGAUGAAAUGGGUCCAAGACUUUCAAUUACCAGGACAGAUGAAUUGCCUAUACUCUGAGAGAAAUGUACAUUUGAGUAUUAUCUGUUAGAGAGAGUUAAAACCUCUGUAAUCACGCUUCUUUAAAUUUUAAGAAAUCAAAGGCAAUCAAGUUUGAAAUUGGUCUAAAAUUCUGAGGGAGGGAAAAUUUGGCUUUUUUUUUUUCUUUUUUUUUUUUUACAAGAGGUUGGCAAACUAACUGCCUGUUUAAAAUAGGAAGGGACAAAAGCCAGAAGUUCAAGACUUAUUCUUUACAGCCCAGUAGUGCAAAUGAUCUUUUUGAACAGUGAGGUUGGUAAAAUGUUGAAAACAAUGCUACCAUGCAAGCCUGACUGCUUAUCACUGCAUAUACUUUUGAACAUCUAAAAUGAAGAUAACACUGUAAAUAUUGUUGUUUUUUUUACCUUUAUGCUUUGUGUGAACUAAAGUGUGUUGCUUAUGAAAUCCAUGAAGUGCUACAGAGAAAAUUACAUUUUAUUUAUGUAAUUAACACAUUUUGAACUCUUAAAGAAAUAUAACAAAAGGAAAGACACCCAGCUGAACUAAAAUGAUCCAGCAAACAAAAACUGUUGUGAGCCGCCACCCUUAUAUCGCCUUAUAUCGGGCUUUUGGAGCCUUGAUCGGACUUUUAAAAAACAACUGGAUAAAAAAGCACUAUGCUGCUAAAAAAUGAAAAAUGGAUAUUUGCAAAAUUCUGCCUAAAUAUGUAUUUUACCUGGUUAAUGUGUGUGGCGGGGCGUGGUCUGCAGUGCCGCUGUAUGGGAGUCGGACGCACCUGAGCGGCACCCGCAAUCACACCUCGCCGCCUUAAAGUCUGUGCUCUCUCUGCUGUUGU